UACGAAGGUGGCAAGCGUUGUUCGGAUUUACUGGGCGUACAGGGAGCGUAGGCGGUUGGAUAAGCCCUCCGUGAAAUCUCCAGGCUUAACCUGGAAAGUGCAGAGGGGACUGUUCAGCUAGAGGAUGGGAGAGGAGCGCGGAAUUCCGGGUGUAGUGGUGAAAUGCGUAGAGAUCCGGAGGAACCCCAGAGGCGAAGGCGGUGUCCUGGCUCGGUCCUGACGCUCA
rnacentral:rRNA from 1 species